rnacentral:rRNA from 1 species
UACAGAGGGUGCGAACGUUGCUCGGAAUUACUGGGCGUAAAGCGCAUGUAGGCGGGUCUGCAAGUCAGAUGUGAAAUCCCCGGGCUCAACCCGGGAACUGCAUCUGAAACUGCAGGCCUUGAGUACUGGAGAGGGUGGCGGAAUUCCUGGUGUAGAGGUGAAAUUCGUAGAUAUCAGGAGGAACACCGGUGGCGAAGGCGGCCACCUGGACAGUAACUGACGCUGAGAUGCGAAAGCGUGGGGAGCAAACAGG